UGGUGGGCCUUCUGGUGGGCCUGGUGGUGGGCCUUCUGGUGGGCCUUCUGGUGGGCCUUCUGGUGGGCCUGGUGGUGGGCCUUCUGGUGGGCCCGGUGGUGGGCCUUCUGGUGGGCCUGGUGGUGGGCUUUCUGGUGGGCCUGGUGGUGGGCCUGGUGGUGGGCCUUCUGGUGGGCCUUCUGGUGGGCCUUCUGGUGGGCGAGGAGGCAGCGGUGUUGGGGAGAAGUCAACGUGGUUGGAAAGAGGUCAACGUGGUUGGCAAGAGGUCAACGUAGUUGGCAAGAGGUCAUCAGUGUGGUUGGCAAGAGGUCAACAGGGUUGGCAAGAAGUCAACGUGGUUG
rnacentral:lncRNA from 1 species